UAAGGUUGAACGAUAUCACAUUCAUGUGAAAUCAUCCCUAUUAUAACUAACAUGAUCACAAUCAAAAUCCAUAUUAAAUAUGAAGCUAUUUAUGCCAAAUAAAAGGGAAUAAAGGUAUUAGCAAAGGAACUUUCUUUUGAUCCUUCCUAUAAUAAAACUAUUAUUAAAAUAGAAAAAUCGUGUAAACUAACAAUGAAGAAAGUUACUGUAAGUCGAUGAGAAAGCGAAUUUUCUUUUAUUUAAUAUAUAUGCUGUUCCAUCAUGGUGAGAACAUAUCCAAUUUAUGGCACACAGAAUUUUCAACAAUUCUUAGAUUUUUUUUUUUUUUGACGUAAGUCAUGUGAGUAAGCCAGGUUUUUAAAAUUCUACAAUGCGAAAAUUAUGAUGCUCAUUAAUUUCAACAGAAGUAUUUUCAUGAAUUUCUUGGUGGGUAAGUUUCCUUCCUGGAUGAAGCUUUUUAUAUUCAGUCCACAUGGGGCUGUGGAAAUGCAGAAACACAUGCCCAAUAAAAUCCAGACUUCAUUUUUGGUCGUUUUGGGCCCCUACUAGAAUGUUGAGAGUGGUAAUCCAAUUUUAAGUGAAAGAGAUUUCAUCCUUAUCUUCCAGGCUUGAAGUUUACUUGCAAUUUCAUGCAAUUUUAUCUGCCCUGGAUUUUCAAAGUGGCUUCUUUAUCUUUCAUAUUUCCUUUGCUUCUUCUACAGGGACGGGUCAUACAAUUGGAAAUUGCCUGGAAAACGGAGGAGAGACCUUUGGCUUCUGGACUAGGGAACCCUUCAAAAUUUGCCAUCUUAAUUCUCAUUUCUCAACAUUGAAACAGCCCUUUUCCAAUUUCCACGAAAAGGUUGUUCAACAAGCAUUAUUGCACCAAUAUAUCUGUUGCACGUAUAGUUUUCAGGAUUUCAUAAUCCUUCAAAUGGAAUACAAGUUUUCUUGCAUUAGAAACUACAAAUCCCUUUAUUUUUCUUGACCCAAAUGCUGCACUUUGUCCUUGUUUUCGUAAAUUUCUUUACCUCUUAAUAUGGUUCAUUAAAAUAAUCAGACCAAGAUGAUGAGAUGCUGAUUUUUGUAUGCUUCCACUACUAAAGACGAAAAUUCAGAUAACGUGCUUCAGAAAAUGCCGACACUAAAUCUGAAGAAACACUAAAUGAGUAAAAAUUCCAAAUCGAAAAGUUUUCAACCGCUUAAUUAAUUUGUCUUUAGCCUGAGCUUAACGGUGACGAUAGCUCGUGCCUAGCAACAUCAAGUCAUUUUAAUGACAGGUUGAAUCAGAGCUUCUGUAGGGCCACUGGUAUUUUCCAUGCAGGCGGAAAAUAAGGUGAAAUCUCUUUCCUCUGCGUUAAAGCAUCGUUUUUAGCAUUAGAUUGAUGAAUCAUAAAAGAUAUUGAGUUAGUCGUCUUGAACGCAUAUCUUACACUUCAAAAUAACGUACAGAUACAGAAUAACAUUAAUGAGACAUUUAAGCAUGUGUCCGAGUCUAGGUAACAUGGUUGAAAAAUAAUGUACUAGUAUCUUUGGCUUCCUCAAGAAAUGAGAGUAAUACAGGGCCAUGUGAUAAUUAGCCUAACUUGACAACUAUUGCAGCGGGACUCUGCCGUUGCCAACUUAAAAAGCAGCAAAUUAUGUGAAGCAGAUUUCAAUUCCACAGGAAAAAAUUAAAAAAAAAAAAAAAAGGGGCCAGAACUUGGGAUAU